UGUAACACAACAAAGACUUCUUAUGCAAACAUUCUGUCAACAGCGCUGAAAGUACAUGACUAAACUCCUCGACCUUACCAUUCUAUGAAUACACUUCUGUAAGCUACAACAACCAGACCUUCUUGCUAUCCGCUGUUACUUCAAGGCUUAAGAUCUCUCGGGAAGGACAGAGGCAGUUUGCAGAGAAAGAGUGUCCUUAAAUCACCAUGGAUCUCUUUCCACUUCAGGGAUUGGCUCUGUAGUUGAGGAAAUGAUACAGGAUUACCGCAUCAAUAGCUACAUUAAAGAUUUUUGCUCUGGUGCCCAUGCAGACCCAAUAGUAUCUACAAUAAGAUCAUGAACAUCUACAAUCGACCAUGGAGCGAUGGAAGAAUUUCGCCUAGUCUUAUGCAUUACAUUUGCUUUUGUGCAACAAGAAAGUUGGUGACUGGAACCAAGUUUCUAUGCUGUGGAUGUCUAUAUGGGAACCGGCCCGCUCAAGCUUCAUGUUGUCCAUGCUCUGCUGGAUAGCUGGACUGGUGAUGGUGAGCUGAA